GAUGAACGCUGACAGAAUGCUUAACACAUCAGCAAUUGAUUGGUGGCGGACGCGUGAGUAACGCGUAAAGAACUUACCUCACAGUUAGGGACAACAUUUGGAAACGAAUGCUAAUACCUAAUACUGUGGGAGAUCUUUGCGUCCCAUUAGCUAGUUGGAGAGGUACCGGCUCACACAGGCGAUGAUGGGUAGCCGGCCUGAGAGGGUGAUCGGCCACAAGGGGACUGAGACACGGCCCUUACUCAUACGGGAGGCAGCAGUGGGGAAUAUUUGACAAUGGACCAAAGUCUGAUCCAGCAAUUCUGUGUGCAAGAUGAAGUUUUCGGAAUGUAAAGUGAUUUCAGUUGGGAAUCGGUACCAACAGAAGAAGUGACGGCUAAAUACGUGCCAGCAGCCGCGGUAAUUC
rnacentral:rRNA from 1 species